rnacentral:rRNA from 1 species
UACGUAGGUGGCGAGCGUUGUCCGGAUUUAUUGGGCGUAAAGCGCGCGCAGGUGGUGCGGUAAGUCCUGUGUGAAAUCUCCCGGCUCAACUGGGAGGGUGCGGAGGAGACUGCCGGACUGGAGGCACUCAGGGGCCGGUGGAAUUCCCGGUGUAGUGGUGAAAUGCGUAGAGAUCGGGAGGAACACCAGUGGCGAAGGCGGCCGGCUGGGGGUGACCUGGACGCUGGAGGCGCGAAAGCGUGGGGAGC